rnacentral:rRNA from 1 species
CCUACGGGAGGCAGCAGUGGGGAAUAUUCGGCAAUGGGCGCAAGCCUGACCAAGCAACGCCGCGUGCAGGAAGAAGGCUUUCGGGUUGUAAACUUCUUUUCUCAGGGACGAAGAAAGUGACGGUACCUGAGGAAUAAGCCACGGCUAACUACGUGCCAGCAGCCGCGGUAAUACGUAGGUGGCAAGCGUUAUCCGGAUUUAUUGGGUGGAAAGGGCGUGUAGGCGGGAGCGCAAGUCAGAUGGGAAAACUCAGGGGUCAAACCUGAGCCUGCAUUUGAUACUGUGUUUCUUGAGUGAUGGAGAGGCAAGCGGAAUUCCGUGUGUAGCGGUGAAAUGCGUAGAUAUACGGAGGAACACCAGUGGCGAAGGCGGAUUGCUGGAUAGUAACUGACGCUGAGGCGCGAAAGCGUGGGGAGCAAACAGGAUUAGAUACCCGGGUAGUC